AGUGGUUGAUAUGCGGGAUGGUGGCCACUCAUUGUUGAGACGUUAACUGUGCGUACUGCGUACCGUGUGGAGUAGCCGCACGCUGACUGGUGUCAAGAGGAUCAUUUGAAGGACUCGCUUCGUGGAAAGGCAUAACGGGUGGUUUUAGGGUCCAAGAUGGACAUGGACAUCCCUAAACCCUGUGUGUUCCUGAACUACAACCCCACUGCCCUGUUUUCACAGUGGAGUGUACCAAUUGGUGCGACCCAAGUGAUGGCCGUGGUGCGAGAUGGCCCGUGGGAGAGCCUGAGCUCGGGGAAGAAAGUAGCCUUGGCUGCAGGCCUCACCGUAGGGGCUACAGUGGGGUAUCUUGUUUACCGACACAUUCGAAGUAGCAGUGUGCAAUGCGAAAGUAAAGAGGAGUCCAGAAUAUCUAUUCCACUUGACGUGUACCGAUCUAUUGCAAGAUAUAAGAGCGCCUUUCUAGACAUAGUGAAUCAGAAGUCUGGCGCCCAAAUAAAUGUGUUGCCGGACACUGAAGAGCAGAGCUUGGUGAAUUUCCUCAUCCGGGGUUCACCUGAGCAGAUUCUUGUGGCACAGUGUGCUUUGGAGAAACUGGCCACCGACUCUGAAGUCAUCACCGAUGUCAUUGAAGUGCCUCAGACGGCAUUUGGACGAAUUAUAGGCCGUGGUGGUGGGACCUUGAAGUUCAUAAACAGAGUCUCGGGGGCCAGGGUGAACUGCCUCAGAGAUCGUGGACGCGGCUUAGAGGAGAAGGGCAAGAUCACAAUUACUGGCACACGCAAGGAAGUUCAAAGUGCGAAGGAGAUGAUCAUGGAGAAGGCCAUAGAGAAUGAAACUGUACGAAAGCGGAUUAGUCAGUCCUCUGCUCUGCGUCAGAAGAGGAAACCACCAGAAGUGGAGCAAUUUAACAAAGCUACAGGACUAGAGAAUGAAUUAUUAAAAACUAAUGGCAAAGAUUUUCUUUCACCACUGACUGAGCUUCAACAAGAGGGACUUGUUACAGUGAAUGGCUUUGCAGACAGCACUACAGCUGAAAAUUCCCUCAGAUCAGAGGAAGAGGAGGAGAUUCUUUCUCCAUUGUCACCUUUGGAGAUCUCAAAAUUUGAAAUUCCUAGUCCAGACCUGAGCUUCCAGCCCGAUGAGCAUCUGGAGGUGUAUGUGUCUGCUGCUGAGAAUCCUCAGCACUUUUGGAUCCAGAUCCUGGGAGUACGAUCUCUACAGCUGGAUAAACUGACUGCUGAAAUGAGUCGUUUCUACAACAGUGACGCCUCGCAAGAGCACAGAGUGGAGACCAUUAUUGUUGGAGAUAUAGUGGCUGCUCCUUACAGGGACCAUGGCACAUGGAAUCGUGCUCGAGUGUUAGGAAUUCUGGAUUCUAGACUGGUGGAUUUGUAUUACGUGGACUUUGGAGACAAUGGGGAGCUUCCACGGGAACACUUACGAAGCAUGAGAAGUGACUUCCUGAGCCUACCCUUCCAAGCCAUUGAGUGCAGCUUAGCAGGGGUCUGUCCUGCAGGAGAGGUUUGGGCUGAGGCAGCCCUGGAUGACUUUGAACGCAUGACGUACUGUGCCGAAUGGAAACCUUUGCUGGCCAAACUGUACAGCUAUUCUCAUUCUGAGAUCUCAUCCUGGCCCAGUGUGAAACUCUAUGACAACAACCAGGGAAAGGCUGUGGAUCUGGGUAAGGAGUUGAUUCGUCUUGGUCAUGCCGUGAGCUGUGAGGAUGAAGGGAUCGGGCUUAGGGGAGAAUGGGAUGAGUCCAGAUCACUGCAGAAGAUGCUGGAUGACAUGACUGGAGCAACCUCAGAACUCAGUAUGUCCUGCAUCAGUUUGUCAGGUUCAACAAAUACAUGGCUAAGAAAGCAGUUGGAAUGGUCAUCCUGUCUCACCAGCUCUUCAGAGGUGGAGCGUGCUGACGUGGACCAGAGCCCUUGUUUUGGACUCCUGUCUUCCAUUUCCCAGAUCCACUCUACUCCAUCUCAGAACCUCAGUGAGCUGGUCAGCCACAUGCUCGAGUCUUCUUCCUCAAUGCUAGACCUUCCGAAUCAGCCAGUUUCUGACAAUACGGUCCAAUCUAACAACUUAACCCCAGUGUCACCAUUACCCAUGAUGUCAGUUCAGGAAAUCACAUCUUCAUUUUCAUCUCCAUCCUGUAUGGAGGCUGUGACAUCAGCCAUGGAUUCCUUCGCUCUGAGUGAUGACGUAUUCGUAGGCUCUCAUUGUAACAGCAAAAAGCAUAAGGUAACGUCUACUGAAUCCAAAGACACUGACUCGUCCUCUAGAGUAGACAGCAGUUGCAGUGAGAGUUUAGAAAGCAGCAACAGCAGUGAUGGAAUCAAAGGGGUGUGGUAUUAUGUCACUUCCUCUAAGGACUCUUCCGAGGCGUCUUUAAGCACCACCAUGCCUCAGUCGUCCACUGCGACAUCCUCCUCUGUUACCGAAUCUUGGGACGAGACCACUGCAUCAUCUCACUCUGUGAUUGAACUGAGCUCUUAUUUAUCAAGCAGUGUUGAAGAUGCUGAAAUGGCUUGGGUAGAAGUGAUCACCUUGAGUGAAAGUUGCAGCAGUGAAAUUGACUUAAUUUGCAAAUGUUUUGAAGAGCACAAAAGUGUCCCCUCUACGGAAGAAAAAUUGGAUGUGAAACCAAACCCGCUAGACAGUGAUGUGAGAUGUCAGAUGUUCUCACCCACUGUGAAUGAUGAAACGCUGUAUAGUGAAGCUGAAAAUGCAACUGGAGGAAGUAGACAAGUUCUUCAGAAACCAAAUAUUGUUGAUUUCAAAAGUGAAACGGGCAACAGUGGUGAUGACAAAUCAACAAGAGGUGCAACAUGUGUAUAUAUAACUUGAGUGAGGCACACUGGAGCACUGUGGUGGUUAAUACCUAUGAUGACAAUUGUGUGGAAAUUUACGGUUAAUCUCUACGGGAUGUGGCUGGUUUUUUACUGCAGGGAUACUUUUGUUUUGGGAAGUCCACCUUGAUGCACUGAAUGUGUUGCAAUGAAUAUGUCCCACAUGCAUGUGACAUACAUAACCAGGGAGGUUUUAUUUACAAUGCACGUUGGUUUUGGCUUCAAUGGGAGAGGAGUUUGUCUUUUUAUGUGUGGUGCUUGCGUGACAAACCUAACUCUAAAGGCAAAAGUUUAGAAAGUUUUCUAUCGAAAACAGAUCAGUUUGGAUGUGUCUUUAAACUUUGGUGUGUAACUUGAUACACCGUUUGUGCUACAGACACGAAUAAUGCCUCAAAUUGUGCAUCAAAUCAUCAAAAUCAAAUUGUACUCAGAGUGUGCUAUUACUUUUUUACAUGAUUGGUCUUCCCAGACAAUAAAACUGCAAAAAGAAAAAUGCUAUCCACCUUUUUCAUGAUGCUUUGCGCAAAGUAUGGGCGUUACUUCCAUUAGGUGGUAAACACAGUUGUCAUUCCAUCAUACGUCCAUUCAUUCUUUUGCUGCGGUGUUGGUAAUUCAUUAUUCAUACAUCUAGAUGUGGGAGCACAGCAUGACGGAACUUAAUUAGGACAAUAUAUGGAUACCCAUUCCUCCUUUUAUUAUAGGGUUGGGAGGACGAUUUAAAGAAGUGGUCUCGGGUAGUAUGUACAGCCUUGAAUCGCACAUGUUGACCAUGAGAUCCGUAAGGACAUCGUUAUGUCCUCCAGCCUAAACGACUUUAAUAAAGCAUAAUACAAUACUCAUUAAGACCUUGUUUACACCUGGUAUUAAGAUGUGUCUUGAGUGAUCCGAUCACAUGUGGUCAGGCGAGAUGGUGUUUAAACCUCAAAUGCGAGGUCAAGUGCUUUUUUUAACUAUCUCUGUGGUUUUGCACCCCAUUUGCACUACUUUAGUACUGACAACUUGUCAUCGGAUUAUCAGAAUCACAACUUAAUACCAGCUGCAAACAGGGUCUAUAAUGACUGCUGCCUAAGCUAGCGAAUGCUAUAGAACUUUUUCGCAGAAGUCGCUCCCACAUCCGUUUCCCCAGUAAGACCCCCCAGGAAAAAUGUGGAUAGAUACACAUUGAAGGAGUGACCUGAACCUUGGGCCUGUGAGCAACCAUCCAGAACACCCUAGUAAUCGGAACACCCUAACAGCUUCACAGCAACACUCUAAAAACCAUUCUGAAUGCCUUAUCAAAACAACGCUUUGACAACAACUCACAACAUGCUAGCACUGUGGCAGCAAGAUUGCAUGGGCAAGUACCACUCAUCUACUGUAGUUACAGUAUGUAUUCUUGUUUUGUGUCCUUUUUAUCUGAGAUAUGACCAGUAUAACUGGUUUUUCUUUCAAUUGGUUAGAAGUUGCCUCAAUUUCUGGAAGCGUGGAUGAUACUAUUGAUGAGGAAUUCAACUGACAACAGACCAAAGACAUGUAUCCCUUUAUUGAGACCAGUCGUUACCUUCAUUUCGCAUUCAACAUAUGCCUCCUGUCUCUGAGAAAGAGCCUUACUUGACUACGCCACCUGCUCGGACUGCCUAUAUUUACUGCUUAAAUAAGGACUGAUUUUCACACUUUGUCUUGCUUUAAGUUUUCAGCCUGUGUCUCUUGAUGUCUUUUGAGGUUUUUGCACCGUUUACACUUGCGUUCUCAUUGCUUUCAUAUCAUUUCCUGUACCAAAAAUGUUGUCAGCCCUUCAUUGGUUUUCCUCAAGUGUCUGAAGAGUUGAUUGACAGUUGAAAAGCAGUGCUCAGGGAACUCAUGAUUGAGUUUGUUAGAACCUCAGUGUUAUUGCAGUGUAGCACCAAAGUUACUGUGGUUUUUGUUUGAGUGAUAAGAUUGUCUGUUGUUUCUGAACUGUUUGUGCUUUUGUUUCUCUUUUCCUGUCAAAAAGAUCGUUGUGAAUGUUGUUUUAUUACAUUGUAUGCUAUAGAAUAUAAAUAUACAAUAAGAUACAGAUUAUUAUUAUACUGCAUAUGUAUUUUUAUAUAAUAUAGAUAGAUAUGUGUGUGUGUAUAUAUAUAUAUAUAUAUAUAUAAUUUGCGAGUUGAGUACUAAUUUUGAUUGUUGGAAUUAAAUAGGUUUAUUUUAAUAUUUUCUUUGUGAAAAUAAUAGGUCUUUUGACAAUAUAAUAAAUGCUGUUGAUUAAGAAAAUGGACUGAAAGCAGUUGGGAAUGGAAAUAGAAAUGUAUACCAGCCAUUACAUUUAAAGAAAACAGACUAAGCAAUACAAAUUUGAGGAACAUGCAUACAAAUAGUUCUAUUCAAUAUUGAAUUCCUAACCUAUAAAUGAAUAAGACAUAGCUCAUACAGUUUUAUAGAUGGGCUCCAAGAUAACUGGUUAAAAUAUUUUAGAGAAUUGACUUCAUCAUGUACAUGACAUGCUUUUGUUCUGUUUAUGUUUGUGAAUAAUAUUGUAUACAUAUUUUUGUUUAGAAGGGUCGUUGGGUUUAAUCGAAAUUAAAAGACAUUUUAUGUUGCAAACUUGAGACUGCACAUAAAUGCAUGAUUAAAAAAUAAAAAUAAUAAUGAUUUUAUUUCUUUAUACAACUAAUUUGUGUGGUUUGGUUCAGUAUCAAAUUAGUUGUCAAAUUUCAAUAAACAGUUUUUUUUUUCUCUCCAACCACAUAAGUUUGUAACAUUCUGAUUUUAAAUAAAAAUAUUUUUAAAUCUAAUGUUACAAAAAAAAAAAAAAUUAGUUUAACGCAUUUUAUGUUCAUGGGGUCGUUAGCAGUAAUAUUAAUAGUUCUACACACUUCAAAUAACAAACUCACUUAUAGACAUCAACCCCACCUGCUUAGCUGUCCACACAUCAUAACAUUUAUGACCUCAUCCAUCAUUUCAUCCCCUCAUGUUCUAUUACCAUGAAAUAAUGACCGUAGACAUAUAUUUUAUAGCCAA